rnacentral:rRNA from 1 species
GACGAACUGUGCAAACGUUAUUCGGAAUCACUGGGCUUGAAGAGUGCGUAGGCGGUUUUGUAAGUAGGGUGUGAAAGCCCCCCGGCUCAACCGGGGAAUUGCGCCCUAAACUGCAAGGCUGGAGUGAGGUAGGGGUGUGUGGAACUUCUAGUGGAGCGGUGAAAUGUGUUGAUAUUAGAAGGAACGCCGGUGGCGAAAGCGACACACUGGACCUUGUCUGACGCUGAGGCACGAAGCCAGGGGAGCAAACGGG